AUAAACACUUAAAUGCAUAUUACUGAAUAAAGGAAGACAAAUGGUGGGAAACGCUGGGGCUUGCCUGUGUCCUGCUUUCACCAUUGGCUCUGGGUCGACAGUGAUGGUGGUAAAGACGGCGUCCAUGGUGCCUUGUGAGCAGCCAGACCCCACACAGGACUGAGGCUCAUCCAUUUGCUCCUCUAAUUCUCACUGCAGGCUUAUAGGCAGGUGAUUUUAUUACCUUCACUGAGGCUCAGAUAAGGUACAAGAAGUGCUGAGAUCACACACCAGGCAGAGGGCUGUGUGUCCAGCCUGCUUGGAUGCUAAGCCCAUCUCCUGCCCACCUUGCCCCAUUGCAUCCUUCCUACCCUCUAAAUGUGGUCUACAGGAUGGUUUUAGAUUCUCCGCUGAUUUAGUUUACAUGAAGAAGCAAUUGGUUGCUAACUCU
rnacentral:lncRNA from 1 species